rnacentral:rRNA from 1 species
GACGAACGCUGGCGGCGUGCUUAACACAUGCAAGUCGAACGGAAAGGCCCUGCUUUUGUGGGGUGCUCGAGUGGCGAACGGGUGAGUAACACGUGAGUAACCUGCCCUUGACUUUGGGAUAACUUCAGGAAACUGGGGCUAAUACCGGAUAGGAGCUCCUGCUGCAUGGGGGGGGUUGGUAAGUUUCGGCGGUUGGGGAUGGACUGGCGGCUUAUCAGCUUGUUGGUGGGGUAGUGGCUUACGAAGGCUUUGACGGCUAGCCGGCCUGAGAGGGGGGCCGGGGACAAGGGGACUGAGAGACGGCCCAGACGCCUACGGGAGGCAGCAGUGGGGAAUAUUGCGCAAUGGGCGGAAGCGUGAUGCAGCAACGCCGGGUGCGGGAUGACGGCCUUCGGGUUGUAAACCGCUUUCGCCUGUGACGAAGCGUGAGUGACGGUAAUGGGUAAAGAAGCACCGGCUAACUACGUG